rnacentral:rRNA from 1 species
GAUGAACGCUAGCGGCAGGCUUAACACAUGCAAGUCGAGGGGUAUAGUUCUUCGGAGCUAGAGACCGGCGCACGGGUGCGUAACGCGUAUGCAAUCUACCUUUUGCAGAGGGAUAGCCCAGAGAAAUUUGGAUUAAUACCUCAUGGUAUGUGAGAAUGGCAUCAUUUUCACAUUAAAGUCACAACGGCAAAAGAUGAGCAUGCGUCCCAUUAGCUAGUUGGUAAGGUAACGGCUUACCAAGGCAACGAUGGGUAGGGGUCCUGAGAGGGGGGUCCCCCACACUGGUACUGAGACACGGACCAGACUCCUCCGGGAGGCAGCAGUGAGGAAUAUUGGACAAUGGGCGCAAGCCUGAUCCAGCCAUGCCGCGUGCAGGAUGACGGUCCUAUGGAUUGUAAACUGCUUUUGUACAGGAAGAAACACUGGUUCGUGAACCAGCUUGACGGUACUGUAAGAAUAAGGAUCGGCUAACUCCGUGCCAGCCGCCGCAGUAAGAC